GUCCGAGAUGGUGAGUGUCCACCCAAGGCGGCGGUAGCGGGCUGCGGCCACCCGGCGUGACCAUCCCCCGGUAGGGGUUCUGGUCGUUGGGCGUCGCCCCGCGGGACCCGGGGAUGCGGGCCUUUAGUCCCAGCCGAGGCGGAGCGACCGGAAGCUGGUCUGUGAGGGGUCGCCCCGGAGGCCCGCCCUCCGGCUCGAGUACAGUUUUGCUUUUUGGUCAGUGUUGGGAGACCCCGGCCGGGCUGCGACGUUUUCUGAAGUCCGGCAUAUGGCAGGCACCCUGGGCGUAAGCGCUUACGUGCAUGGCCUUUCCUCCUCCGCUCUGGGAAGUAGGCAGAGGUGGAGGAAACACUCAAGAGGCUUCAGAGCCAGAAAGGAGUGCAGGGCAUCAUCGUGGUGAACACAGAAGGCAUUCCCAUCAAGAGCACAAUGGACAAUCCCACCACUACACAGUAUGCCAACCUCAUGCACAACUUCAUCUUGAAGGCGCGGAGCACUGUGCGUGAGAUUGACCCCCAAAACGACCUAACCUUCCUUCGAAUUCGCUCCAAGAAAAAUGAAAUUAUGGUGGCACCAGAUAAAGACUAUUUCCUGAUUGUGAUCCAGAAUCCAACUGAAUAAGCCACUGUCUGGGCUUCCUGUGUCAUUCCUUAAUUUAAUGUCCCCCAAGAAUAAUAGUGCUAAUCAUGUCAGUGGGCACGUGGUGGCCACCUGAGCCUGUGUAGACCAUGCCAUUGAUCAAGGGUCGCUCUGCCCACCCCACAAGGAGUGCCUCUGAUCCAGUCAGCCCCUGGGGAAUCAGUUCGCCCUUGCAGGCUUUGGAAUGAGAGCUUAUGAUAAGCCCACACCCAGCUCUUCAAACUUUCAGUUCACCUUGUCCCCCUUGGAAAGCUGUUUUUGUUUUUUAAAGUAAAAAUUACUUCAACCCCCCUAC